ensembl:lncRNA
UGCUAAGAAGCAAAAAUUUAUAUGCAGAUCUAAUGAGAAAUGUUUGUUUUUAUCCUGUAGUCUGUGUAACCCUGAAAGGCUGUGCCAGGAAAGCCAGCCCAAGUUCUGGAAAAUCCUGUCCAGAUGGAAAGGCUUUAGAUGCAGACCCAACAACCAAAGAAAUUCAUGAAGACCAUCUACCAUAAGCACAGAAGGAUCAUGAAAUGUGCCAGACAAGGGGCAGCUCCUGCCAUAUUCCCAGGAAUUCAAACCAACCAAAUUACCUUCAGGGCAUCUCCAACUGCUGAAAAUCUACCUCCCAGGACUCACCAAGCAGUGACUCCAAACCUAUCUGAUAGCAACUGCCCUACUUGCUGAGAGUUAAUUAGGAGUUGUCUUUGUCCUCUUAAUGAGAGGUCAGCUGCUUCUAACAAUCAAGUCCAGAACUGCAGCACAGAGAUCCAGAUUCAGCUGCUCAGCCCGUCCUGCUGCUGGUAUCCCUCAUCUCACUACCAGGGUGGUGAAGAGGAUACAAGCAAGAAUAUACAAUAAGUAUUUUGAGCUCUUUAAGGGAAAAAAAGUAUUCUAUGUAAAAACAAAAUAACACUGGUAUUUGUUGCUGUUGUUCAGAAUUUCAGUCGUUGUCCACCCCUUUGACCACAUUUUGAGUGUUCUUGGUAAAGAUACCAGAGUGGUUUGCCAUUUCAGACUUACAAAUGAAAAUUAAAGUCAUAUCUUACCUAGCCUUGACAUCCUCUGGCCUCCUUUUCUGGAAGUGAAACUAGGAAGCUCUUACCUGAUGAACAGAGAGGUACAUAAGUAGUGGCAAAAACACUGAACUGACUCUAUUUCAAAGCCUACCACUUGUUCGAUAUGUGACUUUAUCACUUCCCUCUACUGGGCCUUAGUUUUCUCACCUAUAAAAUGAGGAAAUUGGACAUACUCGCUUUGAUUUGAGUUAGAUCACCUGGGAAUCAGAUCUUAGUUUUGCCAUGAGUUACCUGGGUGACCAUACUGGGUGACUACAAGCUCUCUAGGUUUUACUUUUCUCUUUACUCUUCUGUAAAAUGAAGACUAGAUGAGCUCCAAGUUGUCUUUCCACUCUAAACUUAUGAUCCAGUGGCCCAAUGAACCAGUGGCCUGGGAUAGGCCACUUAAAUUCUCUUAGCCUCAGUUUCCUCUUUUGGAAAAUGAGUUGGAUUAACUAGGUGAUACAGUAGAUAGAACAUUGGGCUUGAAAUCAGAAAGACUCAUCAAAUCAGGCCUCAGACACUUACUAGCUAUGUGACCCUGGGCAAGUCACUUAACCCAGUUUGCCUCAGUUUCCUCAUCUGUAAAAUGGCAAACCCUUCCAGUAUCUUUGCCAAGAAAAACACGAAAUGGGGUCAUGAAGAGUUAGACACAACUGAAAGCAAUGAACAACAACAAAAUUUUCUAACUCUAAAACCCAAGAUCUGACAAUGCUAUGACUUCAGGUCUCCAAAUCUCAGAGUUUGCUCUUGGUAAUUCUGAGGCUCCAAUGUUGAAUUUUAGUGCUAACGUCCUGAAUGAAAUGAAUACAUUUGUAACACACUCCAGAACUUCUUACAUGUAUCUCAGUUUUG